UACGGGGGGAGCAAGCGUUGUUCGGAUUUACUGGGCGUAAAGGGCGCGUAGGCGGCCACUGCAAGUCAGUUGUGAAGUCUCCGGGCUUAACCCGGAAAGGUCAACUGAUACUGCAGGGCUAGAGUGCAGAAGGGGCAACUGGAAUUCUCGGUGUAGCGGUGAAAUGCGUAGAUAUCGAGAGGAACACCUGCGGCGAAGGCGGGUUGCUGGGCUGACACUGACGCUGAUGUGCGAAAGCUAGGGGAGCGAACGGG
rnacentral:rRNA from 1 species